UUGAACGCUGGCGGCAGGCCUAACGCAUGCAAGUCGAGCGGAUGAAGGGAGCUUGCUCCUGGAUUCAGCGGCGGACGGGUGAGUAAUGCCUAGGAAUCUGCCUGGUAGUGGGGGAUAACGUCCGGAAACGGGCGCUAAUACCGCAUACGUCCUGAGGGAGAAAGUGGGGGAUCUUCGGACCUCACGCUAUCAGAUGAGCCUAGGUCGGAUUAGCUAGUUGGUGGGGUAAAGGCCUACCAAGGCGACGAUCCGUAACUGGUCUGAGAGGAUGAUCAGUCACACUGGAACUGAGACACGGUCCAGACUCCUACGGGAGGCAGCAGUGGGGAAUUUUGGACAAUGGGCGAAAGCCUGAUCCAGCCAUGCCGCGUGUGUGAAGAAGGUCUUCGGAUUGUAAAGCACUUUAAGUUGGGAGGAAGGGCAGUAAGUUAAUACCUUGCUGUUUUGACGUUACCAACAGAAUAAGCACCGGCUAACUUCGUG
rnacentral:rRNA from 1 species